GAGAGAGACAGAGAGAGAGAGAGAGAGAGAAGGAAGAAGGGAGAGACUGAGAGGAUAGAUGCCUGUAAUACUGCUACAUCACUUCUGAAGCUUCUGUUCUGCAGAUGGGGACCAGGAACUUGAACCCAGAUCUGUAUGGGUGAUAGUGUGUGCACUAUACCAGGGAGUGCCACUGCCCAAAACCAUCCUUUGGAAAACUAACUAGUUUCAUUCAUUAAUCAAGCAAUAAGUAAUUGUGAUUAAACUUUUAACUUUACUUGGUUGUUACUAGACACUACACAUUGAAAGAUGUGAUAAACUGAAAACAUUGACUAUUCAAAAAGUACUUAGGCUCUUCUGAAGCAUCUGAAACUUGACAAAAUAUUCCUUAAGUCCACUGUUGUGUUUUGUUAUGCAUGUUAAUACUUGGUAGAAAUGCUGUUGUUUUUAUUUUGAAACAUGCUUUUUUUUUUUUUUAAUCUCCCUUACUCCUCAGGUUCAUUUGGUAAAUAUUUGUGGUUCCUAUUAUACUACAGUAGAUGAUGCAAGGAGAAAGUGAUGCUGAUAGAGUUCCCAUCAGUAUGUUAAACACAGUCUCAUUUAAUCCUUAUAGCAUUGUGAUAGCAUUGUGCCUGGAACUCAGUAAUAUUAAAUAAUUUACUAACAUGACAGAUGACUAGAAGCUGCACCUAGACAAAUUUGACUCCUUAGUUAGAUACUGUCUAAGUGGUACCAGUGUCAAGGGAAUUAUGGAUCAAUUGUUUGUAGCUUUCAUUUCAUUUAAAUUCUUCAGUACUAUGAGCCUUUUUAUAAUUUGAACAUGCUUAUCCUGAAAACUGGGGCUCUGAAUCUUGCUUCCCCAGCCCCAGUUAAUCUAGAGCAACUUUGCUUUUUUACUGUAUUUUCCUGCUGGACUCCUGGGUAAUAUGUCAUUUGUUUUCCUUCCAUGAGGAGUGUUGGUGGCAGGGGGUCAGGUGAGGGUGAUAGAAUUAAACAUCUGAUAACUGCAGCAGCAGUUCCAAAGAAGGAGAAAUUAUUUCCACUUGUAUAUAAUGUGAGAUUGUGAUGUUUGAAUAGAGUUUUCAAGAAAAUAAAAAUGAAGAUGACAGGUUCUGUGGCACAAAAGGAAGAUCCAGUAUUGUGGUCUCUCUCAAGUGUUUGUCUGUGUAUCUAUCUGAAUGAAAAAAAGGGGGAUGGGAGAGAAAGAACGAACAGUGGUGUUGUGUGUGCAAGAUACUGAUUUCUUAGUCACAGAACAGAUAUUUGAUCUCUAGAAUUGAGUGUAUAUAUUUUUGUGAACCUGCAGGGAUAAAAGUAAUCUGUUUUUUUACAAUUUGAGGAAUACAUUAUUUAACUUCAUCUCAGAAAAACUAGAUUGAGUAUAGUUUUAUUAUCAUACUCAUGAGAAUAAUGAUACUAUUUGCAACUAUUGCAUUUUUAUUUACACUCACUGAUAAUGUUGAGUGUACAAUUUUGAACUUCUUUGAACUUGCAUCUGUUUCUUUAUAUCUUUUCUUCCUGUAAUUUUCUGUAUGUACAUACACAUUUUUAUUUGAAGAAACUUUGUUGGAAAUUUGUUUGCAUUCAGUAGCUUUACUGUUAAGGAAUGAAUGAGAAUUUGAUGCUCUUGAAAAUUGGUUUAGCAUAGAGUUUUGCAGCCUUAUUUGGUAUAAAUGGAAUUUUCUUUUUACUUCAAAGUGGAGCACUUUUAAGAAAUUUUGGAUUGCAUGUUGGCAGUGGGGAGAGUAAGUAAUUUUAAAAACAUUUUCUAAGUCGAGAAAGUCCUUUUCACACUUAAGUAUCAAGGCGAUACUGAAUGAAGUAUGUGGAGUCAUUGAUAGUUCAGGUUUUUGAAAUUUUAAGGUAGUCACAGGUGUAUUCUCACUGGCAAAUGUGAACAAGACCAGAUUUGGAUGCACUCUUAAAUACAUCAGAAUCUGUGGAAGCCUGACUAUUAGGUAUCUGUUAGUUUCAUUCCAAUUCUGACUUUUUAAAAAUAUGGUAAAUAUUACUUUGCUAGUACACAUCUGGAGUCUUGCACACUGAAGUAAAUAUAGCUGUGGUUAUUUGAAUGAUUAACCACAGCCCUGGCAAUGCAUUUAGUGUUGAAGAUAAACCUUAUAAGGUCAUUUACAUAUGAAAAGAAGACACUCUACAUGAAUUAGGUAUCCUUGGUAGGUUUUACUAUUUUGCCCUUACCAUGGCUAUUUCUGGCUUAAGUCAUUUAAAAUAAGUUUUUUGUUUGUUUGUUUUUUAUUACAUAGGACCCAGGUAGUGGUUGUGGUAUACCUAUUAGAAUGCACAUGUUACAGUAUACAGGGAGGAGUUCCCCCCCAUCCAUACCUCCAGGGGGAAGAAGCGUCAUGAGUGGUAAAGCAGUGCUGCAGAUCCUUUCUCUCUCCCCUCUCAAUUUCUCUUUGCCUCUGUCCAAAAUAAAUUUAUUGUAUGGUUGUCAGUGUAGUGUGGUUAUUGAAACAUAGCUCAGAGAUGUCAGGUAAAUCUCAUAUACUAAGCAGUCAUUUUUUUCUUUCAUAUGUUAACCUCUUAACCUACUCUUAUUACAAAGUAUUGGUAAUUUUAUAAGCAGAAUAAAAACAUUAGUGUGAGUUUGGAGGAGGAGGAAGGUAAGGGUGUUUUUAGCCCUUUCAGUUUCUUUUUAAAAUUAAGAACCUCAGAGAAUAGUAUAGAAUUUGAAUUUAUUUAUUUAAUUUUAUUUAUUUACAGAGCUGGGAUGCUACAUAUGCACAUUUUUACUUCUCUUGGGCCAAUUUUGUUUCAUUCCUUUUUGAAAUUUCAGAUAGAAAAAGAGGGAGAAAGAAAAGGAAUGGCAUUGCAACAUUCCAUUGUCAGUGAACCUUUCUCUGGUGCUGUCCAUGAUGCCCCAUGUAGUAUUUGGAUUCAAACUUGGAUGCUUGAAUAUGGCAAAGCAUGUUCUCUACCAGGUCAGCUAUCUUCUAGAAGAUUGCUAAUUGCAAAAUUCCUUCUUAAAACUAAUAUUAGUAGGAAAUAUAAGAAAAUUGAUGCUGGUAAAAAAAAAAUCAGUGGGUUUGAUUAUUGAUCUUUUACUAGUGAAUAUAUACUCACUGCCCUAUACACUGAUUAAACUUUUUAUUUUUAUGUAUUUUAUUUUUGAGAGAGAGAGAAACACCAGAGCACUGCUCAGCUCUGGCUUAUGGUGGUGCGGGGUAUUGAACCUGGAAUUUAGGAGCCUCAGGCAUGAGAGUCUGUAUAACCAUUAUGCUAUCUCACCCACCCUAAACUUUUUAUUGUACAUUUAACUGAACUUUCUAGAAACCUGAAAUAGUCUAGAAAAAUUUAUUGAGCUUGUGGAAUAGCUCCCUUGGAUACUGUUCUGCAUUGCUAUGUCUGCAGUCCAGUUUUGAGCUCUGCAUUGAAGGAUGCUUUAGUUUUGUGGUCUCUUGUUCACUUUGUUCGCCUGCUCACUUUGCUGCUCUACACCUCUGCCUCUAUCUU